CACGUAGGGUGCGAGCGUUUGUCCGGAAUUAUUGGGCGUAAAGAGCUCGUAGGCGGUGUGUCGCGUCGGCCGUGAAAAACCUGCAGCUUAACUGUGGGCUUGCGGUGGAUACGGGCAGACUUGAGUUCGGUAGGGGAGACUGGAAUUCCUGGUGUAGCGGUGAAAUGCGCAGAUAUCAGGAGGAACACCGGUGGCGAAGGCGGGUCUCUGGGCCGAUACUGACGCUGAGGAGCGAAAGCGUGGGGAGCGAACAGG
rnacentral:rRNA from 1 species